UGUUGCGCCGUGUUACGCUCGAAACAGCCGGUACAGGUAGGUAGGGUUAGACGUGCGACUAGCUGCUACCGAUACAUCCGGAUUGCGAUACUCGAGAUAUUGGACUUGGUGCCUCGUCGCGCUGUUGGACCGAGGCUAGAACCAUUCCCCGGUAUUUACUCAGCUGUGAUGGAUUGCGGAUGGCACAGGCAUCAUGUUGCUGUUAUCGUCCCGAAGCGUACGAGAUGUCAUCGCAUACGGACGUGACGAAACGCAGCAGUGAUAAGUUCCUAAAUGUUGCCAGCCUUGUGGCUCUGGUUGAACUUUGCCGUGCACCGUCGAAUGAAAUUCCUAUCCCACCUACGGCUAGUGUCUACUCGCCGUUCGAAGCGUUAUCGAUCGAAGAUUCUGGAUAGAAAGGCGACAAAGAAAAGAUUAAAAUUUGCUUUACUAAAUCAUUGCUGUACUGCCGAUCAUCGGCAGAUGUUUCCACUAAUGGCGUUGCAUUAGCAUGCUGUCGCUUCAUCAUUUACACUUCGUUACACUGCAACAGCCGGCUGACGCAUCGUGACGGUGAUGGCGACCGUCUCGCUUACGUCCGGAUGCGCGGUUUGAAGUAGUUAACAGGUUAACGCGUACAGCGAAAUAUGUCAAGGGUCCUGGAGACUGGGCGACCACCUUACCAUCACAACAACAGGUCGCUACUGGAAGCGUUACUCUAAUCGGACCGAGGAAAGGUAUCAGAAUGGUGGGAGCACACAACAAACCCAACAGGAACCAACAUCAUUAUGCUAUUCCAGAACGGUGGACCCACACCCCGUGCAUGCUGGAACGGAAAUUACACUCCAAAGUGGAAAAUAAUGUUUCCAACUUACACUUUUGAAAAACAUUUUCCAAUUUUUGUUUCCCUUUUGGUA